rnacentral:rRNA from 1 species
ACUCAAAGGAAUUGACGGGGCCCCGCACAAGCAGUGGAGUAUGUGGUUUAAUUCGAAGCAACGCGAAGAACCUUACCAGGUCUUGACAUCUAACUAAUCCUCUAGAGAUAGAGGAGUGCCCUUCGGGGAAAGUUAAGACAGGUGGUGCAUGGUUGUCGUCAGCUCGUGUCGUGAGAUGUUGGGUUAAGUCCCGCAACGAGCGCAACCCCUACUAUUAGUUGCUACCUUUAUGGAGCACUCUAAUGGGACUGCCGUUGACAAAACGGAGGAAGGUGGGGAUGACGUCAAAUCAUCAUGCCCCUUAUGACCUGGGCUACACACGUACUACAAUGGCUAUUAACAGAGGGAAGCUAAGCCGCGAGGUGGAGCAAAUCCCCAAAAAUAGUCUCAGUUCGGAUUGCAGGCUGAAACCCGCCUGCAUGAAGCUGGAAUUGCUAGUAAUCGCGAAUCAGAAUGUCGCGGUGAAUACGUUCCCGGGGCUUGUACACACCGCCCGU